rnacentral:rRNA from 1 species
AGUGAACGCUGGCGGUAGGCCUAACACAUGCAAGUCGAACGGCAGCACAGUAAGAGCUUGCUCUUACGGGUGGCGAGUGGCGGACGGGUGAGGAAUACAUCGGAAUCUACUUUUUCGUGGGGGAUAACGUAGGGAAACUUACGCUAAUACCGCAUACGACCUACGGGUGAAAGCAGGGGAUCUUCGGACCUUGCGCGAUUGAGUGAGCCGAUGUCGGAUUAGCUAGUUGGCGGGGUAAAGGCCCACCAAGGCGACGAUCCGUAGCUGGUCUGAGAGGAUGAUCAGCCACACUGGAACUGAGACACGGUCCAGACUCCUACGGGAGGCAGCAGUGGGGAAUAUUGGACAAUGGGCGCAAGCCUGAUCCAGCCAUACCGCGUGGGUGAAGAAGGCCUUCGGGUUGUAAAGCCCUUUUGUUGGGAAAGAAAAGCAGCAGGUUAAUACCCCGCUGUUCUGACGGUACCCAAAGAAUAAGCACCAGCUAACUUCGUG